GACGUAGGGCGCGAGCGUUGUCCGGAUUUAUUGGGCGUAAAGAGCUCGUAGGCGGCUUGUCGCGUCGUGUGUGAAAUCUCAGGGCUCAACUCUGACAUUGCAUACGAUACGGGCAGGCUUGAGUUCGGUAGGGGAGACUGGAAUUCCGUGGUGUAGCGGUGAAAUGCGCAGAUAUCAGGAGGAACACCAGUGGCGAAGGCGGUGAUCUGGGCCGAUACUGACGCUGUAGAGCGAAAGCGUGGGGAGCGAACAGG
rnacentral:rRNA from 1 species